UAAAUGCGCCAUUUAAGUGCAAGACGACAAGGCGGCGAUUUAAUUACAGCAAAUUGCCAAGAUGUUUCGACAUGGCCCGAUCCCGAUGUUCAGGGUAAUGCAAUGGCAAUGCGUUAAUCCAAUUUGUGUGCCAUUAGAUGACCCACAUCGAAAGUGGGCAAGUGGACAAGUGGCCAGCGCGAAGCGGAGAUGCACAGAUUGAUGGUGGAUGGCCAAGCCUGGAAAGCGUCUUCGUCGCCAUAUCGCUGACAUAAUUGGCAAUGACAUCGUGUUUGAGUCGAGUGCACCACACAAAAAAAAAGAAUCGUAAUCAGAUGACCUGCUAACAAAAUAAAAGUGCAAAACCAUCCAUUCUGGCUGCAGGAUAUCCGUCUCGCAGAGUUUCAUAAUUCCUAGAGAAUACUCUCUGCUCCGAGCCUAGUACUUGACUUGAUUGAUUGCCAACUCAGUGACUGCCAGUAGAAAGCAAUUUCCACUCGAGCUGAGCCCACGGGAGAGACGACAGCGACUCCCAGGCAAUCCGUGAGUACGUGUAUCUGUAUCUAAGCCAUUUGUUCCAUAUGUGGGUCGUCGAUUCGCCGUCGUCAGUGCAAAUUUACAGAGAUAUUUGCAUGUUUCUGGCAUAUUACACUGGCAAAGAUACCAAGGCGGGGGUAUGACAACAUUCGGAUGGCUUUUGUCGGGCAGAUGAUCGAUUGGGUAGCUUUUAAAGCGAUUACAAGGCGGUGGGAACUGGUCACUCAACUAUGCGUGUUGUUAACUGAUAUGUUUACACAUCUUUAUGUCGGUGGGCAGGGUAAAUACAUUGCGUGGGCUUAACGUAAUGAAAAUAAUAACUGAAUAUACAUUAAACUUACUAAAAAUAAGCAGCUUAUUUAUUUAUGUAAUUUACUUAUUU